CUGUAACAGCGCAUAAGGGGAAGACAUUGUGCACAUCACACAUAGAAUUAAUGAGGAAAGUGUACUAUAGAUGGUACAUGGUGCCUACCAGAUUGGCGAAGAUAUACCAGGGAACAUCAGCGCUGUGCUGGAGGUGUGGGGUGACGGAGGGCACGAUGUUCCACAUAUGGUGGAAGUGCGGGACGAUCAGACCCUAUUGGGAGAUGGUAG